rnacentral:rRNA from 1 species
CUGCGAAUGGCUCAUUAUAUAAGUUAUCGUUUAUUUGAUAGUACCUUACUACUUGGAUAACCGUGGUAAUUCUAGAGCUAAUACAUGCUAAAAAUCCCGACUUCGGAAGGGAUGUAUUUAUUAGAUUAAAAACCAAUGCCCUUCGGGGCUCACUGGUGAUUCAUGAUAACUCCUCAAAUCGCAUGGCCUUGUGCCGGCGAUGGUUCAUUCAAAUUUCUUCCCUAUCAACUUUCGAUGUUUGGGUAUUGGCCAAACAUGGUUGCAACGGGUAACGGAGGGUUAGGGCUCGACCCCGGAGAAGGAGCCUGAGAAACGGCUACUACAUCCAAGGAAGGCAGCAGGCGCGCAAAUUACCCAAUCCCGACACGGGGAGGUAGUGACAAUAAAUACUGAUACAGGGCUCUUUUGGGUCUUGUAAUUGGAAUGAGUACAAUUUAAAUCCCUUAACGAGGAACAAUUGGAGGGCAAGUCUGGUGCCAGCAGCCGCGGUAAUUCCAGCUCCAAUAGCGUAUAUUAAAGUUGUUGUGGUUAAAAAGCUCGUAGUUGAACCUUGGGCCUGGCUGGCCGGUCCGCCUCACCGCGUGUACUGGUCCGGCCGGGCCUUUCCCUCUGUGGAACCCCAUGCCCUUCACUGGGUGUGGCGGGGAAACAGGACUUUU